GGCAGCCGGCGAGUGACGUGCGCGCGCCGCGGACGCCAAGGGAGAGCGCGCGGCCGCGAGGUGUGGAGUCGCGGCAGGGAUGAGUAACGAGGCCCUCCGGGGAAUCUCGGUUUUGAAGAGGGCGCGCGUGCACGUUGGGCCCUUCGCAUCUGUAGACGCUCGAGGCCCGCAGAAAGGAUACUGUGGCCGAUGAGGUAAAGCAUGUGAGGGUGCUUUGUAACCGGAAAGCGCCUUUCAAAAUAGCUCCUGAUUUGCUGCUGGUACCUGGUAGAGAUGGAACACUUGACCAUGCGACAUCAAGUGACUGUGUGAAUAAUCAAACCAACCAUCAUGACCUGGUGUUAUCUGAUUCACCAGACCAUACAACUGAUGAGCACAACAGCAUUCCGCGCCCUACAAGACUGGGAACACCGUCACAACUAAUCUGAACAAGCAGGUGACUCAGACUAUUAGUACCCGCCCCUAUUCCUUUAGCACUUCUCCCCCAAUCCAUAUAAACUGGCUUCAAAAGAGUUCCUCUAACCAAUUAAUGGAAGAGAGAAA